AGGGGACCUUCAUCUCCAGGAUGAGAAGUUGUCAUGCAUAAGAACCAUGGAAACUUUAGAGACCAAUUGCAAGAUCCUAACUUCUGGCAUGAAUGAGAGAAGUGCAGUUACCCACAAGUGAGAGAAGAUCAAUGAUGGACAAUUCUCAAAGUUUUAUAUGGAAUGUACCCGAUAUUCAUAAAUAAAAUGUAGUGCUUUCAACAGAA